rnacentral:snRNA from 1 species
GUGCUUGCUUGGGCAGCACAUAUACUAAAAUUAGAAAGAUACAGAGAAGAUUAGUAUGGCCCCUGCACAAGGAUGACAUGCAAAUUCAUGAAGUAUUCCAUAUUUUA